GGUUCUAUGGCGCAAUUGGUUAGCGCGUCCGGCUGUUAAUAGCGCACUACUCAUGAUUGGGUUGGUGUGCGUUAAUGAUACCGGGAGGUUGAAAGUUCGAGUCUUUCUAGUACCG